GAGCGCAGGGAGUACGCCAUGUCCUGAGAAGGGGCGAUUCUCAGGCUCUGGCAGUUACAGCUUCUCCUCACCCUGCCGAGCAACCAGGCCACGGGGCUCCGUGCAUCGCCACCUAGAGUGUUACCCUCUUCCUUGUUCACAGAGGUUCUCCGCAGUGUGUGAGAAAGAGGCCCUCUCUCAGAUGAAUGGAUAAAGAAAAUGCAGGACAUAUGGUGGGAGGAGCCAAGAUGGCCGAAUAGGAACAGCUCCGGUCUACAGCUCCCAGUGUGAGCGACACAGAAGACAGGCAAGAAGAAUAAAUGUCUCUGGUGGAACUUUUGCUCUGGUGGAACUGCUUUUCUAGAACUGGUGGCUAAAGCAAUCCUAGUGAGACAAUGGCAUGAGUAAUAGUAACAGAGGAGUUAAGCAGUUGUGAUUUUCUGCUCCAAUAAUAGAAUGAAGUCUCAAGUUUUCAUGUAGACACAAGUCCCUGAGACCUGCCGUGCCCCAGCAGAUUUCCUGCA
rnacentral:lncRNA from 1 species